AUAAUAUUUAGCACAUUUUAUUGUACUUGCUUGUUUAUAUUGAUUUCCCUCCUUUAGAUUAAAAAUCUUGUCCUCCUCAAGGACAAGAAAUGUGGUCCCUAUGUUUUUCUAGCCCUAGCACCUAUGCCAGUGCCCAGAACAAGUAUUCAGGAAUGAGUGUUGAUUCCCCAUGCAGAUUAGACUUUAGAAAGGUAACUCAUAGUCAAGAUUUUGCCAAAAAUAUUAACUCAAAAUUUAUAUGAGAUAUAUAUUUACUGGAACCUUUGUAUUAAUUUAUGUGGAAACCUAGAAUAAUAAUUUUUAUGUGCUGAAUUGUGCCCUUGUAAAAUUUAUAUGUUGAAGCCCCUAGGAUCUCAGAAUAUGACUUUAUUUGGACAUAGCAUCUUUAAAGAGGUAAUGAAGUUAAAAGACAGUCAAUAGGAUAGGUUUUAAUCCAAUAUGACUCAUUUUCUUACAAGAAAAGAUUAGGACAGAGACACACAGAGGAAGACCAUGUGACAAUACAGGGAAAAGAUGGCUAUCUGCAAGCUGAGAGAAGCCUGAGAAGAAACCAAUCCUGCGAAUACUUCCAUCUCAGAUUUCUGAGCUCCAGAAUUGUGAAAAAAUUAACUUCCAAUUUAAACCACCUGUCUGUGGUACUUUCUUAUGGCAGCCCAGCAACUAAUAUAAUAAUUAAAAGAUUGUUUUGGUGCCUGUGUGUUCUUCCUGGUUGACUUGGGACCAACUUGAUGGAAAACUGCUCUGCUCUUAGUCUUAUCUGGUUCAUUUUCCUUCCAAAUAAAGGAAAACUGAUUGAGUCAA